AACGUAGGUGGCGAGCGUUAUCCGGAUUUACUGGGCGUAAAGCGUGUGCAGGUGGCCUGUUAAGUGGUGUAUGAAAUCGCCCGGCUCAACCGGGCGGGGUUAUGCCAGACUGGCAGGCUAGGAGGGUGGGAGAGGGAUGUGGAAUUCCGGGUGUAGUGGUGAAAUGCGUAGAGAUCCGGAGGAACCCCAGAGGCGAAGGCGGCAUCCCUGGCCCACGA
rnacentral:rRNA from 1 species